GAUGAACGCUGGCGGCGUGCCUAAUACAUGCAAGUCGAACGGAAAGGCCCUGCGUUUGUUGGGUGCUCGAGUGGCGAACGGGGGAGUAACACGCGAGUAACCUGCCCCUGACUUUGGGAUAACUUCUGGAAACUGGGGCUCAUACCGGAUAGGAGCUCCUGCUGCAUGGUGGGGGUUGGAAAGUUUCGGCGGUUGGGGAUGGACUCGCGGCUUAUCAGCUUGUUUGUGGGGUAGUGGCUUACCAAGGCUUUGACGGGUAGCCGGCCUGAGAGGGUGACCGGCCACAUUGGGACUGAGAUACGGCCCAGACUCCUACGGGAGGCAGCAGUGGGGAAUAUUGCACAAUGGGCGGAAGCCUGAUGCAGCAACGCCGCGUGCGGGAUGACGGCCUUCGGGUUGUAAACCGCUUUCGCCUGUGACGAAGCGUGAGUGACGGUAAUGGGUAAAGAAGCACCGGCUAACUACGUG
rnacentral:rRNA from 1 species